rnacentral:rRNA from 1 species
GAUGAACGCUGGCGGCGUGCCUAAUACAUGCAAGUCGAGCGAACAGACGAGGAGCUUGCUCCUCUGAUGUUAGCGGCGGACGGGUGAGUAACACGUGGAUAACCUACCUAUAAGACUGGGAUAACUUCGGGAAACCGGAGCUAAUACCGGAUGAUAUUUUGAACCGCAUGGUUCAAUAGUGAAAGACGGUUUUGCUGUCACUUAUAGAUGGAUCCGCGCGGCAUUAGCUAGUUGGUAAGGUAACGGCUUACCAAGGCAACGAUGCAUAGCCGACCUGAGAGGGUGAUCGGCCACACUGGAACUGAGACACGGUCCAGACUCCUACGGGAGGCAGCAGUAGGGAAUCUUCCGCAAUGGGCGAAAGCCUGACGGAGCAACGCCGCGUGAGUGAUGAAGGUCUUCGGAUCGUAAAACUCUGUUAUUAGGGAAGAACAAAUGUGUAAGUAACUGUGCACAUCUUGACGGUACCUAAUCAGAAAGCCACGGCUAACUACGUG